rnacentral:rRNA from 1 species
GACGAACGCUGGCGGCGCGCCUAACACAUGCAAGUCGAGCGGAGAUAUUUGAAGGAAGUUUUCGGAUGGAAUUUGGGUAUUUUAGCGGCGGACGGGUGAGUAACGCGUGAGUGACCUGCCUUCCACAGGGGGAUAACGUACCGAAAGGUACACUAAUACCGCAUGAGACCACAGCACUGCCUGGUGCAGGGGUCAAAGGAGCAAUCCGGUGGAAGAUGGACUCGCGUCCGAUUAGAUAGUUGGUGGGGUAACGGCCUACCAAGUCAGCGAUCGGUAGCCGACCUGAGAGAGUGAUCGGCCACAUUGGAACUGAGAGACGGUCCAAACUCCUACGGGAGGCAGCAGUGGGGAAUAUUGGGCAAUGGGGGAAACCCUGACCCAGCGACGCCGCGUGAGGGAAGAAGGUUUUCGGAUUGUAAACCUCUGUUCUUGGUGAAGAGGGAAAGACGGUAGCCAAGGAGGAAGCCCCGGCUAACUACGUACCAGCCGCCGCAGUAA